CCAAUAGCGUAUAUUAAAGUUGUUGCAGUUAAAAAGCUCGUAGUUGAAUUUCGAGGCCGGUUUAUUGGUCGUGCUUUUGUACGUACUGGUAUUAUUGGUUUCUCCUUUCUGACGAACCUUAAUGCCAUUAAUUUGGUGUUUUGGGGAAUCAGGACUGUUACUUUGAAAAAAUUAGAGUGUUUAAAGCAGGCUCACGCUUGAAUACAUUAGCAUGGAAUAACGGAAUAGGACGUUUGAUUCUAUUUUGUUGGUUUCUAGGAUCGACGUAAUGAUUAAUAGGGAUAGUUGGGGGCAUUAGUAUUCAAUUGUCAGAGGUGAAAUUCUUGGAUUUAUUGAAGACUAACUACUGCGAAAGCAUUUGCCAAGGAUGUUUUCAUUAAUCAAGAACGAAAGUUAGGGGAUCGAAGACGAUCAGAUACCGUCGUAGUCUUAACCAUAAACUAUGCCGACUAGGGAUCGGAUGAUGUUAAUUUUUUAAUGACUCAUUCGGCGCCUUACG
rnacentral:rRNA from 1 species